AAUGAACGCUGGCGGCAUGCCUAACACAUGCAAGUCGAACGAGACCUUCGGGUCUAGUGGCGCACGGGUGCGUAACGCGUGGGAAUCUGCCCUUGGGUUCGGAAUAACAGUUAGAAAUGACUGCUAAUACCGGAUGAUGUCGAAAGACCAAAGAUUUAUCGCCCGAGGAUGAGCCCGCGUAGGAUUAGCUAGUUGGUGAGGUAAAGGCUCACCAAGGCGACGAUCCUUAGCUGGUCUGAGAGGAUGAUCAGCCACACUGGGACUGAGACACGGCCCAGACUGCUACGGGAGGCAGCAGUGGGGAAUAUUGGACAAUGGGCGAAAGCCUGAUCCAGCAAUGCCGCGUGAGUGAUGAAGGCCUUAGGGUUGUAAAGCUCUUUUACCCGGGAUGAUAAUGACAGUACCGGGAGAAUAAGCUCCGGCUAACUUCGUGCCAGCAGCCGCGGUAACAC
rnacentral:rRNA from 1 species